ACCUAAGAUGGUGAUAGCCUCACAACCACGAUUUUACGCACUCGCUAUGCGCUGGCCACUUAAUCUCCAUCCUUGUCCUGUUGAGCCCCUCCGCGGCGCGAAGAACGGCCUUGAGAUCGGCUACCUUCGCCCGCUUGGUGCGGCAGCAGUUGGCGUGCACGGUGGCCACCUGCGCCGCGUCCCGGCUGUCCUGGCAGAAGCCGCUGAAGCGCGCCGUGUCCAGGACGCGGGCGCCCACGCGCAGCCGGCGGAACGCGCCGCGCCGCUUCAUCCGGUUCAGCACGUCCUGCUCCUUCAUCCCCGCCGAGACCUGCCGCGCCGCGUGCCACUCGUCGAACAGCGCCACCGUCCGGUCGUUGGAGACCACGAAGAAGAAGCCUGUGUUCAGCUCGUUGCCGGCGUAGUCGUGCGGCAUGCCGUUGAACUUGUCGGCGCUGAUCAGCAAGUCCUCGCCUUCACCGCGGUCCAGCUUCGGGAACGGGUUCCUCAGCCACAUCACGUCCAUAUCCUUUACAAAUCAAAGCACCAAAAAUCUAAGUGUGCCAGUCGUCGUAAUGGAGAUGCAUAUGCCCCAUAUAUGCAUGCGAUGCGUGCUCACAAACGUACGCACAGUGAAUACGAAGCUGUAGCCGUGCUUGAGGACGUCGCCAAGGAACCGGAUCCGCCGCCACAUCAUGCGUAUGAACCCGUCCGACAUGUAGAUCUGCUCGGACGAGAGGUCGUCCGCGCUGUCCGUCGGCCGGAGCAGGUAGCACUUGAGGCCGCCAAGGCUCCUGCACCGGCGGAAGGCCUGCUGGUCCAUGGCCACGAAGAGGACGUGGUCGAUCAACUGCUCGGUGCCGUCCCCUUCCCUCAGGCUCUCGAGGAAGAGGUCGAGCAGGCCGCCCUCCUCCGAAUAAGCCUUGUUCAGCAUGGUCAGGAUCAGCGUCCUGUUCGCGUACGCUGCGCCGCGCAGCGCCACCUCCAGAUCGUCGGGGACAAAAUCCUGGGAAUCCGUUUUGAUAAAAAUUAAGCUAGGGUUUGGAGAUCAAGCAUAGGACCCGUCAACCCCAUACCCGAUCCUCCUGAUCGAAUUCUCAGAGAUGAACGCAAUUUAAGGGCUAGUUUAACAACUCCAUUUCUUUUUCAAAGAAUUCCUAUUUUUCUAAACGAAAAUAAACUAAUUUCCCUUAAAAAAUGAAAAUAACUUAAAAUAUAGGGUUGCUAAACUUGUCCGAAAAGAAAAUUUAGCUCUUAGAUUCACAGGGACGGAAAUGGACAACCAUCCUCCGUGCCCGUUUAGCUUAAAUAACAAAUUAAACUGUAAAAUAGAUUUCCCCUAUAAUUUUAAAUAUUGCUUGUUUAAUUUAUAUUAAUUUGAUAUAAUCGAUUCGUAGUUGCCCUAAAAUAUUGUAUUUUAUAUUAGGGGUGUGUUUAUCAAGGGGGUAAAUUUUCU
rnacentral:misc_RNA from 1 species